GACGAACGCUGGCGGCGUGCUUAACACAUGCAAGUCGAACGGUAAGGCCCUUCGGGGUACACGAGUGGCGAACGGGUGAGUAACACGUGGGUGAUCUGCCCUGCACUUCGGGAUAAGCCUGGGAAACUGGGUCUAAUACCGGAUAGGACCACUGCCGGCAUGGGUGGUGGUGGAAAGCUUUUGCGGUGUGGGAUGGGCCCGCGGCCUAUCAGCUUGUUGGUGGGGUGAUGGCCUACCAAGGCGACGACGGGUAGCCGGCCUGAGAGGGUGACCGGCCACACUGGGACUGAGAUACGGCCCAGACUCCUACGGGAGGCAGCAGUGGGGAAUAUUGCACAAUGGGCGCAAGCCUGAUGCAGCGACGCCGCGUGAGGGAUGACGGCCUUCGGGUUGUAAACCUCUUUCAGCACCGACGAAGCGCGAGUGACGGUAGGUGCAGAAGAAGGACCGGCCAACUACGUGCCAGCCGCCGCCGUAA
rnacentral:rRNA from 1 species